AAUGUAUCUCUGGGGCUUUCAAUAGCACCUGGCAUAUAGUAAGUGCUAUACAUGUGUUUAUUCUUUUUAUGAAAUUGUGAACUAAGCAUGAUGUAUAUAAAUAACCCUAGAGCUACUGGUGACAUCUCUGCUGCAGGUGGCAAAACUUUGACUUAGAAUGAAGCCAGCAAAAGAAACAGCGGAGAGAUAAAAAAGACUUGAGUCCUGAGGACAUCAUUUAAUCAUCUAAUCUAGCUGCUUGUGAAUGGAGCCCUACUGUGCUGAAUACCUUCUGUUUGCCCUCUGGAUCUGCCUUUCAGCCUUUCCCAUUCUGCUCUCUGCUCUGUGAGGAAAUCUGGACUGAGAGAAGCCAGUCUCAAAUAGCUGCACCUGAGGAACAAUACCUGAAGUGCUUUUGCCAUGUCUGGACCUGAUUUAGACGAUAAGA
rnacentral:lncRNA from 1 species